rfam:Sorghum bicolor cultivar BTx623 chromosome 3, whole genome shotgun sequence.
UAUCCAUGAUGAGGACAAGCGCGAAUGUACUCAUUGAGACGUUCCCAUACUUUAGGAAUCGUCUCGUCGGACUAUUGCUGGAAGCUCGAAAUAUUCCCAUGCAGGGCA